rfam:Otolemur garnettii contig122667, whole genome shotgun sequence.
AUCACUUCUCUGCCUUUUGGCUAAGAUCAAGUAUAGUAUCUGCUCUUAUCAGUUUAGAAUGCCCAUUUUUAUCCAUGGUAAUCGUGAUGGAUGUUGUAGGCACUGACCAUGGACCAUGAGACAGAGGUCAUAAAGGACAUUCUUU